ACUGGAUGUGCAACGUUGACCAGAAGGUUACUGUGUCAGCUUCAUCGUAGCUCAGGCUUGCCUGACUGGAUACCAGCCAGAGGAGACUCAGCGAGAGCUCAGUAACACAGGCAAACUCCUGGGCAAGACAUUUUUCAGCUCAAUUGGUUAUGAAUUGCAUUGAACUGCUGCUGCUAAGUUAAGGAAUGUCAUGUCACAUGCCGGUAAUAGUAAACCUAAUUCUGAUUCUG